UGCAUAGGAAUCUGCCCAGUAGUGGGGGAUAACGUGGAGAAAUCCACGCUAAUACCGCAUAUGUCCUACGGGACAAAGCAGGGGACCUUCGGGCCUUGCGCUAUUGGAUGAGCCUAUGUCGGAUUAGCUAGUUGGUAGGGUAAAAGCCUACCAAGGCAACGAUCCGUAGCUGGUCUGAGAGGAUGAUCAGCCACACUGGGACUGAGACACGGCCCAGACUCCUACGGGAGGCAGCAGUGGGGAAUAUUGCACAAUGGGCGCAAGCCUGAUGCAGCAAUGCCGCGUGUGUGAAGAAGGCCUGCGGGUUGUAAAGC
rnacentral:rRNA from 1 species